rnacentral:rRNA from 1 species
ACGGUAUGUAGUACGCAAGGUGACCUGCGGAAGGACAUUACAGAGUGUGAGGCUCAGUCGUGGCAUCUGCUGCGUGCUGGGCCGACCCUCCCACCCGUGUCGAUUUGUAUCUUGUUGCUUUGGCGGGCCGGGCCGCGUCGUCGCUGCUCCGCAAGGACAUGCGUCGGCCGCCCACCGGUUUCGGCUGGAGCGCGCCCGCCAAAGACCCAACCAAAACUCAUGUUGUUUUUGUCGUCUUAGCUUUAUUAUUGAAAUUGAUAAAACUUUCAACAACGGAUCUCUUGGCUCUGGCAUCGAUGAAGAACGCAGCGAAAUGCGAUAAGUAAUGUGAAUUGCAGAAUUUAGUGAAUCAUCGAAUCUUUGAACGCACAUUGCGCCCCUUGGUAUUCCGAGGGGCAUGCCUGUUCGAGCGUCAUAACACCCCCUCCAGCUGCCUUUGUGUGGCUGCGGUGUUGGGGCUCGUCGCGAUGCGGCGGCCCUUAAAGACAGUGGCGGUCCCGGCGUGGGCUCUACGCGUAGUAACUUGCUUCUCGCGACAGAGUGACGACGGUGGCUUGCCAGAACAACCCACUUGCUCCAGUCACAUGGAUCACAGGUUGACCUCGAAUCAGGUAGGAAUACCCGCUGAACUUAAGCAUAUCAAUAAGCGGAGGAAAAGAAACCAACCGGGAUUACCUCAGUAACGGCGAGUGAAGCGGUAACAGCUCAAAUUUGAAAUCUGGCUCUUCCGGAGUCCGAGUUGUAAUUUGUAGAAGAUGCUUUGGGUGGUGGGUUCGGCCUAAGUUCCUUGGAACAGGACGUCAUAGAGGGUGAGAAUCCCGUAUGUGGCCGAGGCCCGCGCCUAUGUAAAGCUCUUUCAACGAGUCGAGUUGUUUGGGAAUGCAGCUCAAAAUGGGUGGUAAAUUUCAUCUAAAGCUAAAUAUGGGCCAGAGACCGAUAGCGCACAAGUAGAGUGAUCGAAAGAUGAAAAGCACUUUGGAAAGAGAGUUAAACAGUACGU